rnacentral:rRNA from 1 species
UUCCGAUGGGGGGCCUGCGGAGGGAUCAUUACAGAGUUCUAAAAGACUCCCAAAACCAUUGUGAACGUACCCGUCAGCGUUGCCUCGGCGGGCGGCCCCUCCCUGGGGCCGCUGCCUCCCUCGGGGGGUGCCCGCCGGCGUACCAAAACUCUUUUGUAUUUUAGUGGCCUCUCUGAGAAAACAAGCAAAUAAGUUAAAACUUUCAACAACGGAUCUCUUGGUUCUGGCAUCGAUGAAGAACGCAGCGAAAUGCGAUAAGUAAUGUGAAUUGCAGAAUUCAGUGAAUCAUCGAAUCUUUGAACGCACAUUGCGCCCGCCAGUACUCUGGCGGGCAUGCCUGUUCGAGCGUCAUUUCAACCCUCAAGCCCUGCUUGGUGUUGGGGUCCUACGGCUGCCGUAGGCCCUGAAAGCUAGUGGCGGGCUCGCUAUAACUCCGAGCGUAGUAGUAAAAUAUCUCGCUAGGGAGGUGUCGCGGGUUCCGGCCGUGAAAGCCCAUCUUUUACACAAGGUGACCUCGGAUC